UACGGAGGGAGCAAGCGUUACUCGGAAUUAUUGGGCGUAAAGGGCGCGUAGGCGAUUUGAAAAGUCUUGUGUGAAAGCCCCGAGCUUAACUCGGGAAGUGCACAAGAAACUAUUGAAUUUGAGUUCCGGAGAGGAAGGCAGAAUUCCCGGUGUAGCGGUGAAAUGCGUAGAUAUCGGGAGGAAUACCAGUGGCGAAGGCGGCCUUCUGGACGGAUACUGACGCUGAGGCGCGAAAGCCAGGGGAGCAAACGGG
rnacentral:rRNA from 1 species